UACGGGGGGGGGCAAGCGUUGUUCGGAAUUACUGGGCGUAAAGGGUGCGUAGGCGGUGCUCUAAGUCGGAUGUGAAAACUCUGGGCUCAACCCAGAGCCUGCAUCCGAAACUGGAGUGCUAGAGUUCUGGAGGGGGUAGCGGAAUUCCUGGUGUAGCGGUGAAAUGCGUAGAUAUCAGGAGGAACACCGGUGGCGAAGGCGGCUACCUGGACAGAAACUGACGCUGAGGCACGAAAGCUAGGGGAGCAAACAGG
rnacentral:rRNA from 1 species